GGGGAUGUAGCUCAGUUGGUAGAGUGCUGGCCUUAUAAGCACAAGGCCCUGGGUUCAAUCCCCAGCUCCACUA
rfam:Ictidomys tridecemlineatus contig007813, whole genome shotgun sequence.